GUAGGUGGCAAGCGUUGUCCGGAAUUAUUGGGCGUAAAGCGCGCGCAGGCGGUCCUUUAAGUCUGAUGUGAAAGCCCACGGCUCAACCGUGGAGGGUCAUUGGAAACUGGGGGACUUGAGUACAGAAGAGGAAAGCGGAAUUCCAAGUGUAGCGGUGAAAUGCGUAGAGAUUUGGAGGAACACCAGUGGCGAAGGCGGCUUUCUGGUCUGUAACUGACGCUGAGGCGCGAAAGCGUGGGGAGCAAACAGGAUUAGAUACCCUGGUAGUCCACGCCGUAAACCGAUGAGUGCUAAGUGUUAGGGGGGUUUCCCGCCCCCCUUAGUGCUGCAGCUAACGCAUUAAGCACUCCGCCUGGGGAGUACGGCCGCAAGGCUG
rnacentral:rRNA from 1 species